AAAGGUUGACCUCGGAUCAGGUAGGAAUACCCGCUGAACUUAAGCAUAUCAAUAAGCGGAGGAAAUCUCUAG
rnacentral:rRNA from 1 species